UCAAGUUAUUAAGGGUGCAGGGCGAAUGCCUUGGCACUAGGAGCCGAUGAAGGACGUGAUAAGCUGCGAUAAGCUUCGGGGAGUUGCACGUAAACUUUGAUCCGAAGAUUUCCGAAUGAGGAAACUCACUUAGAGUAAUGUCUAAGUAUCGUAUGAUGAAUACAUAGUCAUGCGAGGGGAACCCGGAGAACUGAAACAUCUAAGUACCCGGAGGAAGAGAAAGAAAUUCGAUUCCGUAAGUAGCGGCGAGCGAACGCGGAACAGGCCAAACCAGUGAAGUUUUCUUCGCUGGGGUUGCGGACAUAUCAUAACGAAGAGGUAUCGUAGAGGAAGAGAGUUGGAAAGCUCCGCCAUAGAUGGUAACAGCCCAGUACUUUAAACGAGAAGACUUUAGAUAUGAUCCAGAGUACCACGGGACACGUGAAACCCUGUGGGAAGCAGGAGGGACCAUCCUCCAAGCCUAAAUACUACCUAGUGACCGAUAGCGUAUAGUACCGUGAGGGAAAGGUGAAAAGAACCCCGGGAGGGGAGUGAAAGAGAACCUGAAACCCUGCACUUACAAGCUGUAGGAGCACAUUUCUUGUGUGACUGCGUACUUUUUGUAGAACGGGCCAACGAGUUACGUUGUGUAGCAAGGUUAAGCACUUAAGGUGUGGAGCCGUAGCGAAAGCGAGUCUUAAAUGGGCGUCUAGUUACCCGACGUAGACCCGAAACCAGGCGACCUAUCCAUGAGCAGGUUGAAGCGAAAGUAAAAUUUCGUGGAGGACCGAACCCACGUACGUUGAAAAGUGCGGGGAUGACUUGUGGAUAGCGGUGAAAUUCCAAUCGAGCCUGGAGAUAGCUGGUUCUCCCCGAAAUAGCUUUAGGGCUAGCCUCAAGAUUAGAGAAGCGGAGGUAGAGCACUGAAUGUCCUAGGGGGUAUUGCACUUACCGAAGACUAUCAAACUCCGAAUGCCGUAUUCUUUUGCUUGGGAGUCAGACUAUGGGUGAUAAGAUUCAUAGUCAAGAGGGCAACAGCCCAGAUCGUCAGCUAAGGUCCCUAAAUGUAAGUUAAGUGGUAAAGGAUGUGGAAUUGCACAGACAACCAGGAUGUUGGCUUAGAAGCAGCCACUCAUUUAAAGAGUGCGUAAUAGCUCACUGGUCGAGUGAUUCUGCGCCGAAAAUUUCCGGGGCUAAAACUUACUACCGAAGCUACGGCAUCAUUAUGAUGGGUAGGGGAGCUUUCUAUACGGGUUGAAGCAUGACCGUAAGGACAUGUGGACUGUAUAGAAGUGAGAAUGUUGGCAUGAGUAGCGAGAUGUGGGUGAGAAUCCCACAGGCCGUAAACCCAAGGUUUCCAGGGGAAGGUUCGUCCGCCCUGGGUUAGUCAGGACCUAAGCCGAGGCCGAAAGGCGUAGGUGAUGGACAACAGGUUGAUAUUCCUGUACCACCAAUAACCGUUUGAGAAAUGGGAUGACACAGUAGGAUAAGCUAACCGCACUGUUGGUUAUGUGCGGGCAAGUAUUGAGGCAGUUCCGAUAGGCAAAUCCGUCGGAAUAAUGCUGGGGUACGAUGCGGAGCGAAAUUAAGUAGCGAAGUAGCUGAUUUCACACUGUCGAGAAAAGUCUCUAUCGAGGUUAAAGGUGCCUGUACCGCAAACCGACACAGGUGGGUGAGGAGAGUAUCCUAAGGCCAGCGAGAGAACUGUUGUUAAGGAACUCGGCAAAAUGACCCCGUAACUUAGGGAGAAGGGGUGCCUUCGAAAGAAGGCCGCAGAGAAUAGGCCCAAGCGACUGUUUACCAAAAACAUAGGUUUCUGCUAAGUCGCAAGACGAUGUAUAGGAGCUGACGCCUGCCCGGUGCUGGAAGGUUAAGGGGAUCUGUUAGAGCAAUCGAAGCAGUGAACUUAAGCCCCAGUAAACGGCGGCCGUAACUAUAACGGUCCUAAGGUAGCGAAAUUCCUUGUCGGGUAAGUUCCGACCCGCACGAAAGGCGUAACGAUUUGGGCACUGUCUCAACAA
rnacentral:rRNA from 1 species